UACAGAGGGUGCAAGCGUUAAUCGGAAUUACUGGGCGUAAAGCGUGCGUAGACGGUCAUGUAAGUCGGGUGUGAAAGCCCCGGGCUCAACCUGGGAAUUGCAUUCGAGACUGCAUGGCUAGGAUGCGGAAGAGGGAAGCGGAAUUUCCGGUGUAGCGGUGAAAUGCGUAGAUAUCAGGAGGAACACCGGUGGCGAAAGCGGCUUCCUGGUCCAGCACCGACGUUCAGGCACGAAAGCGUGGGGAGCAAACAGG
rnacentral:rRNA from 1 species